rnacentral:lncRNA from 10 species
UUUCCAUGUGUCUAUCGGCCUUUGUGAGUCUUCUCCUGGCUUGGCUCUACAUAGUCUAUGUUUUUAUUUUGCUUUUCUGUUUCCAGUUUUUCUUUUGAUGCUUUUUUUUUUUUUUUUGGCAUGCAGAUGUUUAAACUUUUUUUUUUUUUGUCAUCACAUCAAUUUUUCUUCAGUGGUUCUGCCUUUGGUGACAUUGCAAAAAAGCCUUCCCAUCAUGCACAGUCCUUUUCUUUUUCAAGUUGUUUGUUUCUGAAUAGUUUUGCAAAAAGAUUCAUCCCACUACGUUCCGAAUCUGAAGCAGGUUCACAUUUCCUAGGCGCUCAGAUGUGCAAAGGGUAAUUCUGUUCUCUGAUUCCUGAACUGAGUCUGUGUGCUCAGCCCUGUUCUGGUGGGUGGGGCGGCUUGUUCCUGUCACAUGGCAGUGGGUUUGGCCACCUCGGGGUUUCCACAGUCCACAGCCUGGCAUUUGGGCAGAGUAACCCCAGCUCAGGGAAGCUGAGACAACUCAAGUAAGCAGAAGCGCUCCCAGAACAUGCCUACGUGGGAGGUGGAAGGUGCUAGAACUUCCCCAAGAUUCUCCUGGCCCUUGACAGCUGGCUCCCCCGCUGAGCAGGCCUUUGUUCCUCCUGAGCAGGUCUCUGUUCCUCCUCGUUUUCUCACCUCUGUUCUCUCCACAGAAAGCUGGGUGUGUUCCCCAUGACCUUAUGUGAAACUGGCUUGGUAGAUGUUCACCACAUUCAGAGGGCACAUUUGUGAUAGUGUGAGUUAAAAUAUAGGCCAUGAGUCUCCUAGAAGACCCAUUCAACAGGGCCCCCGGUACACACCCCCAGUGCUACUGAACCUCAAGCUUAGUGACUGCUGUCAGAACAGUGCUGGCUGUAUUGGCAGGGAGUGGAGAGCUGACCACAGAUGUUGGUUUGAAGUCAAAACUGCAGGACAUGCAGACUCAUCUCAGCGGUGACAGAGCCAGCAACUCCAGGAUGGAGGCUUUUAGUGAGCUCAGAUUCCAGUCAAUAAGUGUUAGCUGUUAUUCCUGCUUUGGGGGUUUUCAGGGUCCUCUCCCAUCCAGCCCCGCAGCAAGUCUCCUUGGACAGCUCUCAAAACAUAUCUCCUUUCUGUUUCAUUUCCCUGUGUGGGGUGCAUACAUGGAGGAGUGACGAGGACCUAGUGACCACUGGGCUUUGAAGAGGUCAUCAUGCACACCAUCGUCUCUCGUCUCCGGAACAAAUAUAGGAGGCACUGGUCUUUAAAGUGGGGAGGUAAAACAGUUAUUAUUUGUCAAUGAAUCAUGGCAGAGACAGCUAAUUGUCUGCUGAUAUCCCUUCCCUCCUUCUUCCGUAGUGAUCAAAUCUUGUGUUUAGCAUGGCCACCUGGAGGAAAAUAACAUUUCCCCACUCACAGCUAUGUGUGGCCGUGUGGCAGCUUCCCAGAAACCUCCUUAAAGUCAUGCUCCACCCUUUUCCUCCUCUUUCUUCUCCUCGGUGCUGCAGCCCAGAGCUUACUUGACGGCUGCAGCUGCCCACCUUGCACUAUGCAGGCAAGGGCCACAUCCUGGAGGGGAGGACAAUGAGCUUGAAGGAACAUGGGGAUAUCAUGGAGAGCCCGCUGUGCUGACCUUGGGCCACUCCUUUGGGCUUUUGUGUAAGUCAUUCACAUUUUGGGUCUGUCUAGUUGCUGCCUAAUCUAAUUCUUAUACAGAUAAUUAAGUGAUAAGCUAAUCAUAAUUGAUUGAAGGUCUUCAGUUAAGUGGCUGAACACAAUAGCAAUAUACUCAAAAUCAAUUGUUUUCCUAUAGAACGUAGAUCACCAGUUAGAUGAUAUCUUUGAAGAAGACCACAUUUAUGUUUGCUAUAGAAGUAGAACAAAAAUGGGACAGAACAUGAUGAGUGACAUUACAAGCCAUGGAGCCAAUUCCCAUCCUGCGCGAUGGGCUUGGAACAAGGUGCCAUCUCCUCUCCCAUGCUAAAUCCACAAAGCGGUUUUUCAAAAAUGUGAAAACAAUCUAACAAAUACACAGUCUAAAACAAGAACAGCCACAUUCGGUGGGCCAAUGUGUGAAUUCCUUGAAAAUAAGAGAGGAGCUGGGUCAGAUUAAAGAGGAAAACCACCCCCUGGGUGGGCAGGGCCUGGGACGUUCGCAGUGAAGAUACAGCCGCUGAGAGGGCCAUGGAGGAAAAUGAUGGAUCAGACUAAUGGAAAGGCUUUACCCAAAGAGCCAGCUUUAACAGAGCAACCAGAGCAGGAAUUAUUUUAUGAAAUUGGAAAUUGCUAUCCUCAGAGAUAAGGAAGGAUAUCACUGUCUAAAUAAGAAUUAGCAGUUAUAUAUUAAAGAACUAAUUAGAGAUUUUAGAAAUUUAAAAAUAUGAUUAUUGAAAAAAGGGGGAGGCUCAUUCAUAGGCACAGUGGCACAGGGGGCAGGGGAGCAAAGCUGUCCCUGGUAGCAGGCAGACGCGGCAUCCUGGGAAAGGCCUGGCCAACUGCCUCUACCCUGCCUUUGGUCUUGUGCUCUGGAUCAGUCAGGGAAUUUGUUGGCCUGCAACAGAAGGCAGCUC